AGCGAACGCUGGCGGCAUGCUUAACACACGCAAGUCGCGCGGGUGGUUUCGGCCAUCAGCGGCGGACGGGUGGGUAUCGCGUAGGAAUGUAUCCCGAGGUGGGGGACAACCCUGGGAAACUGGGGCUAAUACCGCAUGGGGCCUGUGGGUCAAAGCCUUCGGGCGCCUUGGGAGCAGCCUGCGUCCGAUUAGGUAGUUGGUAGGGUAAAGGCCUACCAAGCCUGCGAUCGGUAGCUGGUCUGGGAGGACGAUCAGCCACACUGGGACUGAGACACGGCCCAGACUCCUACGGGAGGCAGCAGUGGGGAAUAUUGGACAAUGGGCGCAAGCCUGAUCCAGCAAUGCCGCGUGAGUGAAGAAGGUCUUCGGAUUGUAAAGCCCUUUCGGCGGGGACGAUGAUGACGGUACCCGCAGAAGAAGCCCCGGCUAACUUCGUG
rnacentral:rRNA from 1 species